AUACGUAGGGGGCGAGCGUUGUCCGGAAUGAUUGGGCGUAAAGGGCGCGUAGGCGGCGCGGUAAGUCUGGAGUGAAAGUCCUGCUUUCAAGGUGGGAAUUGCUUUGGAUACUGCCGCGCUUGAGUGCAGGAGAGGUUAUCGGAAUUCCCGGUGUAGCGGUGAAAUGCGUAGAGAUCGGGAGGAACACCAGUGGCGAAGGCGGGUAACUGGACUGCAACUGACGCUGAGGCGCGAAAGUGUGGGGAGCAAACAGGAUUAGAUACCCUGGUAGUCCACACUGUAAACGAUGAAUGCUAGGUGUAAGAGGUAUCGACCCCUUUUGUGCCGGAGUCAACACAAUAAGCAUUCCGCCUGGGGAGUACGGCCGCAAGGUUGAAACUCAAAGGAAU
rnacentral:rRNA from 1 species